rnacentral:SRP_RNA from 1 species
AUUAUUCUAUGUCUCAGCGGACAGGGAUUGGUUGGCUGAUAUUUGGCCUCCCUGUCCAACCACAGAGUUAAGUCAGGUGGCCCAAGUGAAGACAUGGGCUACUGGACACCUAAAGUUGGGCGGACUAGCGUGAGGCUGGUUUCACAGAGCAAUGAAUGGUCCCCGCUCUGUGCAGUGGAAGGAUAACGGGCUGGUGUCUUCCAAGCCCAACAAAUGCCUGAUGGUCUGCUCAAAUUAAA